UGAUCUUUGUUCUUGACUGGUCUGGUUUUGCCUUGACUGAACCACUUCCACUUCUUGGUAGCCAUUGUUUCGAUUGUGCUUUGUCUUCAGGAUCAUGCUAGGAAAGCCAUGUUUCAUCUCCUGUUGCAAUCCUUCAAACAAAAAC